AGUGCUAAGGUCCUUUGAGAAUCAUAAGAGGUAUAAGGAACUGAAAGAGAGAUGACACCACUCCGAGCUUAAACGAUUAAAAAGGAGUAAAACUUAAAGCAUGUGAACAGGUCCAUUUAUUUAACACACACAUAAAGAAACAACAAUGGAAGCAUGUAAGACUUAAAAACUAUACGAUCAAGCAUUUCAUGAAGUCAAAAGAGCAAAAGAAGAAAGAAGAAGACGAAGACAUUUGUGUUUUAUGUAAUUGCAUUUGAUUUUUAUAUCUUUCGUCUGUAAUAAUGCAUGCAUCUGCAUGAUGUGUAUGAAUGCUCAAAAUGAUCGUAGAUGGACCCUAGGGACCAGCACAUCUCAUCAAAACCUUUUUCUAAA